UCAACUCUUAGCUCUCUGCUCUAUGAGACUUUGCCGACUGUUCUCUGACCCGUAGAAAAAGUCAGUGUCCAUCCUCGGCCUCUGAGUCAAGGAAGCAGCAGGAACGUUUCGUCUCAGGCUCUUUGUUGACUCUGACUUUGCUCAUCUGCUGACGUCUCUUAUCUGCUCUGUGAUCAGCUCCUUUGUCUCCAGCUUGGCGCAGACUGAGAGGUAAGAUUUGUCCCCUUACCUAGACUGUUCCAAAUGGCUCUUUCCACCUCUACUGGUGGGGCGGGGGGUUGUUUCGUGGCUGUGAUGGAUCAUCACCAUCAAAACAAGGGGCUCAGUGAAGAGCAGCCGCUUCCUCCUGACCCAGAAGAAUGCUUGAAGUGUGCAUAAAAACGUGACACAUUAUUUCAAGCCAGAUAUUAUUUCAUAUACAUUACAGAUAGUCCCCUGGACAUGAACGAGUUCCAUUCCAAGACCAUGUUCGUACGUCUGAUUCGUUCAAAAGUCCGACAAAGGUAGCCUAGGCACCCAGCCCACACAAUCAUCUAUACAGCCCUGCACUGCUGCAGGGUUAUAAUACUUUUCACACAAAUAAUACCUUAAAAACGAACCUAAAGUAAAGCACCUUUAAUCUUACAGAACAGGACGCUGAAAAGUGCCGUAGUACGGUCGGCCGCCGUCGGGGAGCGGGGAGCGGGCGGGAAGAGUCACGAGCGGGGGACAGAGGUGGGGACGGCGGCGUGAAGGGGCGCCGGCAGCAGGAGGCGGGGCGAGCUGCAGGCUCGCGCAGGCCUGAGGUUGGUGGCGCCGCGUCUAGUUCCUUUAAGGAGGGCCUCGGUGAGAGGCAGCACCUGCCACUUUCCACAAGCGGCCUCACUCCAGUCUGACAGGAAACGGUCAGACGGCGGCAGGCUCUGCGAUUUCCUCGGACGCGGCUGUUUGCCAGCGCACACCGUCAGCUGUCAGAGAAAGUCUCCUCCCCUAGCAGAUUUCUUUAGCUGCUUUGAGCAGGGCGCCCUGGACUUUCCCUUUGUAAAUUUCCUGCUGCUGUAAAUGGAGACCAUGCAACUCUGCUGGGCUUCAUUCCUUUCACCCUUAAAAUGAUGGCUUUCUGGCUGGUGCCCAUGGCCACAGAGAAGGCAUGGUACGACCACCGAGAAAGCACCGUUUGGGAAUAAUAGGUAGAAUUUCUCCGUGUUUUCAGCAUGAUGUCUUAACUAAUUGCAAAAUCCCCACAUCCAUGGGGAUUUCGUAUUUCACAAAUCUCUAUAACUGGUAGCAUUUCCUGGGUUCCUGGGCUUUCUCCAGUGACAAGAACUAGACUCCACUUGCUGACUCAGGUUUGUUUAUAGCCAGGCCACGCAAAGUCCACCCUCUAUCUGAACACGCCAAGAACACUCUCUGCUGUGGACCUGAAAGCUUAAUCUAGGAGCCAGUGGACCAAACCACGCUGUUGCCCGGCAACACCCCAGUUUUGGUUAAACCUGUAUGAAGGCGAUCAGCACUGGGAGAAGACGUACAUGAACAAAAUGAAUAAAAGGACUCUAUUUUUUGUACUUAUCUAUUCAUUCAUUCAUUUGAC